GUGAACGCUGGCGGUAGGCCUAACACCUGCAAGUCGCACGGCAGCACAGUAAGAGCUUGCUCUUACGGGUGGCGAGUGGCGGACGGGUGAGGAAUACAUCGGAAUCUACUUUUUCGUGGGGGAUAACGUAGGGAAACUUACGCUAAUACCGCAUACGACCUACGGGUGAAAGCAGGGGAUCUUCGGACCUUGCGCGAUUGAAUGAGCCGAUGUCGGAUUAGCUAGUUGGCGGGGUAAAGGCCCACCAAGGCGACGAUCCGUAGCUGGCCUGAGAGGAUGAUCAGCCACACUGGAACUGAGCCACGGUCCAGACUCCUACGGGAGGCAGCAGUGGGGAAUAUUGGACAAUGGGCGCAAGCCUGAUCCAGCCAUACCGCGUGGGUGAAGAAGGCCUUCGGGUUGUAAAGCCCUUUUGUUGGGAAAGAAAAGCAGCAGGUUAAUACCCCGCUGUUCUGACGGUACCCAAAGAAUAAGCACCGGCUAACUUCGUG
rnacentral:rRNA from 1 species